rnacentral:rRNA from 1 species
AACGAACGCUGGCGGCAUGCCUAACACAUGCAAGUCGAACGAGACCUUCGGGUCUAGUGGCGCACGGGUGCGUAACGCGUGGGAACCUGCCCUUAGGUUCGGAAUAACUCCCCGAAAGGGGUGCUAGUACCGGAUAAUGUCUUCGGACCAAAGAUUUAUCGCCUUUGGAUGGGCCCGCGUUGGAUUAGCUAGUUGGUAGGGUAAAAGCCUACCAAGGCGACGAUCCAUAGCUGGUCUGAGAGGAUGAUCAGCCACACUGGGACUGAGACACGGCCCAGACUCCUACGGGAGGCAGCAGUGGGGAAUAUUGGACAAUGGGCGAAAGCCUGAUCCAGCAAUGCCGCGUGAGUGAUGAAGGCCUUAGGGUUGUAAAGCUCUUUUACCCGGGAUGAUAAUGACAGUACCGGGAGAAUAAGCUCCGGCUAACUCCGUG